rnacentral:rRNA from 1 species
AACGAACGCUGGCGGCAUGCCUAACACAUGCAAGUCGAACGAGAUCUUCGGGUCUAGUGGCGCACGGGUGCGUAACGCGUGGGAAUCUGCCCUUGGGUUCGGAAUAACUUCGGGAAACUGAAGCUAAUACCGGAUGAUGACGUAAGUCCAAAGAUUUAUCGCCCAAGGAUGAGCCCGCGUAGGAUUAGCUAGUUGGUGAGGUAAAGGCUCACCAAGGCGACGAUCCUUAGCUGGUCUGAGAGGAUGAUCAGCCACACUGGGACUGAGACACGGCCCAGACUCCUACGGGAGGCAGCAGUGGGGAAUAUUGGACAAUGGGCGAAAGCCUGGUCCAGCCAUGCCGCGUGCAGGAUGACGGUCCUAUGGAUUGUAAACUGCUUUUGUACAGGAAGAAACACUACUUCGUGAAGUAGCUUGACGGUACUGUAAGAAUAAGGAUCGGCUAACUCCGUGCCAGCAGCCGCGGUAAAGUGACUACUG